GAUGAACGCUGGCGGCGUGCCUAAUACAUGCAAGUCGAGCGAACAGACGAGGAGCUUGCUCCUCUGACGUUAGCGGCGGACGGGUGAGUAACACGUGGAUAACCUACCUAUAAGACUGGGAUAACUUCGGGAAACCGGAGCUAAUACCGGAUAAUAUAUUGAACCGCAUGGUUCAAUAGUGAAAGACGGUUUUGCUGUCACUUAUAGAUGGAUCCGCGCCGCAUUAGCUAGUUGGUAAGGUAACGGCUUACCAAGGCAACGAGGCGUAGCCGAACUGAGAGGGUGAUCGGCCACACUGGAACUGAGACACGGUCCAGACUCCUACGGGAGGCAGCAGUAGGGAAUCUUCCGCAAUGGGCGAAAGCCUGACGGAGCAACGCCGCGUGAGUGAUGAAGGUCUUCGGAUCGUAAAACUCUGUUAUUAGGGAAGAACAAAUGUGUAAGUAACUAUGCACGUCUUGACGGUACCUAAUCAGAAAGCCACGGCUAACUACGUG
rnacentral:rRNA from 1 species